rnacentral:lncRNA from 1 species
ACAGAACUUGAGAGCUUGCGGCCAAGGGAAGUCGUUCAUCGGUGGACCGACAGCGCCCCGGGCGGCAGAAAGAAGGCGGCGGCGGCGGAGACCCGGGGAAGUUGCCGGAUUUUUAAAAAGGCACCUGCUGGUUGGACCCAGACUGACACUCUUGCCUGAGGGCACAGACCAGGGAGCAGCAAUCAAUACUGGACACCAGGCAGCUUCCACGCUUGACAGUGUUGCCAGACCCUCGCGUGGGCAGGAGGGCACAGGUCUGAUGCCGUGUGUGCUGAUGUGAGAUCUCUAAUUCAUACUGGAGGGCAAGGCAGAGAGGGCACGUGUCAGGAGAGAACCCCAGGGUAGAGUUUUAAACAGUUUGCAGCAGAUAUGUAAAAGAAAGGCAUUUCAGAAAGAGGGGACAGUAUGUACAGCAGCGGGAGGAGGGAAGGAAGGGUGACAACUUCAGGGAAGGGACAGAGGUAUCACCAAGCUCCUGCUUCAUCCCUAAACCUUUUGUUUCAUUCCCAGGGAGAAUCCUAGUAAGAUUUAGAGUCUGCAGGAUCCUAAAUCUUGUUCUCAAUGGUUUUACCAGCUUUUCUCUUACCAGCUCUCUAGGAGGCAACAUUAUCCACUGGAGCAUCUAGAAGCACAAGUACUUCCAUGAUGGUCAGAGGCAGAAGAGGAUGCGGAGCAGGGUAGAAGACUCUCAUGACUACCUGCACGCCACCAUCUUCCCCGGCCUGGCGCAAUUGCCUUCAGGAUAUGUACAGCAUGACCCACAGGGAUUUCACUUCAUGGAAUGCAAAACCAACCUGCAUGAGCUUUGUUUGAAAACAAAACAAAACAAAACGAAAACAAAACAAAACAAAACAGAGAAAUCCUAUCUAUAAAAUUACUCUUAAUGGAAAUUCUGCCUGUAUAAAAUUAAAGUGGCAGGUGAGAACCAUUUUCAGCUUGCUUAUGGGUCUCUUACAGAUUUUCCUUGAAGUUUCAUGUGUUCUAAUUCCCUGAUAUGGAGGGAAGAGACUACAGUUGUGUUUACCUCGAAUUAUCAUUCAAAUAGAGGUGGUGUUUUCC